UGGAUUUAGGCACAAUGCGCGGCCUGCAAAAUUCGAGAUAACCGACGUAAACUGUUUUAAUUAACCGUGCGUCGGUUAUUUUUUUGC
rnacentral:sRNA from 1 species